AUUGAACGCUGGCGGCAGGCCUAACACAUGCAAGUCGAGCGGUAGCACAGAGAGCUUGCUCUCGGGUGACGAGCGGCGGACGGGUGAGUAAUGUCUGGGAAACUGCCUGAUGGAGGGGGAUAACUACUGGAAACGGUAGCUAAUACCGCAUAACGUCGCAAGACCAAAGUGGGGGACCUUCGGGCCUCAUGCCAUCAGAUGUGCCCAGAUGGGAUUAGCUAGUAGGUGGGGUAACGGCUCACCUAGGCGACGAUCCCUAGCUGGUCUGAGAGGAUGACCAGCCACACUGGAACUGAGACACGGUCCAGACUCCUACGGGAGGCAGCAGUGGGGAAUAUUGCACAAUGGGCGCAAGCCUGAUGCAGCCAUGCCGCGUGUGUGAAGAAGGCCUUCGGGUUGUAAAGCACUUUCAGCGGGGAAGAAGGCGGUGAGGUUAAUAACCUUGUCGAUUGACGUUACCCGCAGAAGAAGCACCGGCUAACUCCGUGCCAGCAGCCGCGGUAAUACGGAGGGUGCAAGCGUUAAUCGGAAUUACUGGGCGUAAAGCGCACGCAGGCGGUCUGUCAAGUCGGAUGUGAAAUCCCCGGGCUCAACCUGGGAACUGCAUUCGAAACUGGCAGGCUAGAGUCUUGUAGAGGGGGGUAGAAUUCCAGGUGUAGCGGUGAAAUGCGUAGAGAUCUGGAGGAAUACCGGUGGCGAAGGCGGCCCCCUGGACAAAGACUGACGCUCAGGUGCGAAAGCGUGGGGAGCAAACAGGAUUAGAUACCCUGGUAGUCCACGCCGUAAACGAUGUCGAUUUGGAGGUUGUGCCCUUGAGGCGUGGCUUCCGGAGCUAACGCGUUAAAUCGACCGCCUGGGGAGUACGGCCGCAAGGUUAAAACUCAAAUGAAUUGACGGGGGCCCGCACAAGCGGUGGAGCAUGUGGUUUAAUUCGAUGCAACGCGAAGAACCUUACCUGGUCUUGACAUCCACAGAACUUUCCAGAGAUGGAUUGGUGCCUUCGGGAACUGUGAGACAGGUGCUGCAUGGCUGUCGUCAGCUCGUGUUGUGAAAUGUUGGGUUAAGUCCCGCAACGAGCGCAACCCUUAUCCUUUGUUGCCAGCGGUUAGGCCGGGAACUCAAAGGAGACUGCCAGUGAUAAACUGGAGGAAGGUGGGGAUGACGUCAAGUCAUCAUGGCCCUUACGACCAGGGCUACACACGCGCUACAAUGGCAUAUACAAAGAGAAGCGACCUCGCGAGAGCAAGCGGACCUCAUAAAGUAUGUCGUAGUCCGGAUUGGAGUCUGCAACUCGACUCCAUGAAGUCGGAAUCGCUAGUAAUCGUAGAUCAGAAUGCUACGGUGAAUACGUUCCCGGGCCU
rnacentral:rRNA from 1 species